UACGUAGGGCGCAAGCGUUAUCCGGAAUUAUUGGGCGUAAAGAGCUCGUAGGCGGUUUGUCGCGUCUGCCGUGAAAGUCCGGGGCUCAACUCCGGAUCUGCGGUGGGUACGGGCAGACUAGAGUGAUGUAGGGGAGACUGGAAUUCCUGGUGUAGCGGUGAAAUGCGCAGAUAUCAGGAGGAACACCGUAGCGGCAAGGCGGU
rnacentral:rRNA from 1 species